rnacentral:lncRNA from 1 species
AAGCACUAUUCAAAUGUAGUUAAAUAAGCAUUAUUUAGUUGUUCCUUUACAACUCCAACAGUGAGGCCAGAGAGGUAUCCAUGCUUCAUCUCAUUCAAGUCAUUAUUGACCAAAGAAAGACAUGUGAAAAUUGUUUAAAGCGCAGCAGAAUGCAUUGUGAAUCCUGGAUUGUAGGAAAGUACAAAGCAGAGUUAACGUUGGCUGUUGCAGCAGUCUACAGAAGAUGUGAUGCCGACAUGAGCUAGAACAACAAUUUUACAAAGAUAGAUAGAGUAUAGUGGAGAGA